UACGUAGGGUGCAAGCGUUGUCCGGAUUUAUUGGGCGUAAAGAGCUCGUAGGCGGCUUGUCGCGUCGACUGUGAAAUCCCGCGGCUCAACUGCGGGUCUGCAGUCGGUACGGGCAGGCUAGAGUUCGGUAGGGGAGACUGGAAUUCCUGGUGUAGCGGUGAAAUGCGCAGAUAUCAGGAGGAACACCGGUGGCGAAGGCGGGUCUCUGGGCCGUAACUGACACUGAGGAGCGAAAGCGUGGGGAGCGAACAGG
rnacentral:rRNA from 1 species